rnacentral:lncRNA from 10 species
AUUUUUAGUAGACGGGGUUUCACCCUGUGGGUGAGGCUGGUCUCGAACUCCUGACCUCAAGUGAUUUGCCCUCCUUGGCCACCCAAAGUGCUGGGAUUACAGGCGUGAGCCACCAUGCUUGGCCCCCAUAAUGUUACUGGGGAUCUUUCUUUUCUGCUUUGCAAAGUGUAUAAAUUCCAUCCUCAAAGUAGCCUCAUGGUCCAUGAGGGCUGCUGGCUAGCCAACCAUCACAGCAGGAAGCAGAUGUUGGGAGCACAGCAGGGCUCAUUUCCAGUUGUCCCCUCUUAUGGAGCUUUCCAGAUGACCCACUCAAUUAAUUCUUCUUACAUUUCAUUGCUACCACUAUUUACAAGGUAGGCUAGGUACAGUGUCCCUCAGAAUAAAAUCAGAGCUCAUUUCCUGCGGAACACAGCUGGGUUAUCUGCAUUGUCUGCCUCAGGCCAGCACCUGUAAAUACAGCUGGUGGAGAGGGGCAGUGGCUGAUUCUUCUGGGUGGCAAAUUUUAAAAUAUAUGCCAAGAGUGAUUCAAAUAUUCAUUUCCUCUCAUGUAGUCUCAAGUGUGUGACUUUAUGUUUGGGAAACCCAAAGAAAGGUGGAGAAGCACAUGCAUGAAGAUAUCCAUUGCCCCCUGAUUGUUAAGCAUGACAAGUCAGAAACAACUGAAAUUUCCAACAGUGGGAAAAACACAAGCAUGCUAUGUUCUGAAAUUCACUUGGUGGAAUGUUCCGUCAGUCACUGUGAUAUGGUUUGGCUGUGUCCCCACCCAAAUCUCAUCUUGAAUUGUAGCUCCCAUAAUUCCCUUGUGUUGUGGGAGGGACCCAGUGGGAGAUAAAUGAAUCAUGGGGGCGGUUUCCCCCAUACUGUUCUCGUGGUAGUGAAUAAGGAUCAUGAGAUCUGAUGGUUUAAUAUGGGGAAACCCCUGUCUCUUCGCUGUCAUUCUUCUCAUGUCUGCCACCAUGUGAGACGUGCCUUUCGCCUUCCAUCAUGAUUGUGAGGCCUCCCCAGCCACAUGGAACUGUGAGUCGGUUAAAUCUCUUUCUUUUGUAAAUUGCCCAGUCUCCAGUAUGUCUUUAUAGCAGCAUGAAAACUGACUAAUACACACUACACACUGUAAAUGUUAGUCAUGGAGGAUGUGUACCAACAUGGAAGAGUGUUUACAAUGUAUCUUUAGAGAAAAGAUGGACUAUCCAAGUAUGCAUACUGGAAUUAUCAUUAGAUUACCAUACAUCUGGGUGAGGAGCAGAACAGAGACAUAAGUAACAGCAACCGUGAACCUCAGAGGCAGCCAAGGGCUGGAGUGCAAUGGCACCAUCGCGGCUCACUGCAACCUCCACCUCCUGGGUUCAAGCGAUUCUCCUGCCUCAGCCUCCCGAGUAGCUGGGAUUACAGGUGCCCACCACCACGCCCAGCUAAUUUGUGUAUUUUUAGUAGAGACGGGUUUCACCAUGCUGGCCUCGAACUCCUGACUUCAGGUGAUCCACCUGCCUCGGCCUCCCAAAGUGCCGGGAUUACAGGUGUGAGCCACUGUGCCUGGCAUCCUUCUUUUUUUCUUCUGAAAACAACACUAUAAUGGCCAUCCUCUCCUGGUAUAUAAAUCUCUGCACACAUACUUGAGUGAUUUAAGAAUUAAUUGCCAGCCUCAGGAUGGCCCCCAAUGAUCCUUGCUUCCGUAUUCAUAACCAGCAUAGUCUCCCUUCCCAGUAAAUCAGGGAGACUGCAUGUGGCCAGUAAAUUCCAGCAGAGGUAGAUGGUGUGUGACGUCUAAGGCUGGGUCAUAAAGCACACUGUGGCUUCAGACUUUCCCUUCUGGACUGCUCAUUUUAGGGGAAGCCAGCCACCAUGUCAUAAGGACAAAGCAGCCCUGAGGAGAACCAAUCCCUUGGGGAGGAACUCGGCCCCCAGUCAGCAGCCAAUACCAACUUGCCCAUGUGUGAGUUAGUCACCUUGAAAGUGGAUCUGCUGUCCCAGCCAAGCCUUCAGAUGAGACCACAGCUCUGGCCAACACCUGACUGCAGCCUCAUGAGAGACCCAGAGAACCAUCCUGUUGAGUCUCUCUUGAAUUCUUGGCCCAUAGAAAUUGCUAGUGAUAGUAAAUUAUUCUUGUUUUUUAAACCACUAAGUUUUAGGUUAAUUUAUUACACAGCAGGAAUGAUAACUUAAAUGGUGACUAUUUUGGUCAAAAGAGGCCAGGCUCUGCUACAGUAUCAAAUAAACCACACUUGAUGGCUAAUACAAUAAGGUUUAUUUCAUACUCACUUACACCUGAUGUGGGUAGGAGGGCUCUCCUGCUUGGCACGCAAGUCCCAGGGAUGCAGAGUAUUUUCACCUAGAAGCAGGUCACUUCUUCUCACAUUCAGGUGGUGAGAAAGCUGUGUUAUCACACCCAGGAGCAUGGAGCCAAGAAACAUAGUUUAGUUGUAUGCCCCAGAAUAUAACUAAAUAAACGUUUAGUAUUGCCUCUGCCACAGUGAAUCAAGAGAAAUGAAAGUGACUACUAUGUAUUUGAAAAGUAAAAAUUCCCAGAAGUACAGAAAUGCAUAUUGAAACUGAUUCAUGAUUUUUCACUUCCUGUGGAAUAAACAAAACUCCCUUUUUGAAAUCUGAGAAUAUCCAAACUUCCACAAUUGCUACAGGAUAAACACUUCCAUAUACAGCUGGUAGGAAUAAGAAUAGGCUUGACUUUUCCAGAUGAUAAAGUUGCAAGAUUUAUCCACAGCCUUUAAAAUAUUUAUAUUCCUUGACCCAAAUAAUUUUGCUUCUGGGAAUCUAUUAUAGGGAGAUAUAUAUAUAUAUAUAUAUAUAUAUAUUUUUUUUUUUUUUUUUUUUUUUGAGACGGAGUCUUGCAUGUCACCCAGGCU